CGACACUUUGCUGUAUGCAUUGUAUUUUAUAAAGAGAACCAAAUUGUGUCAGUCAUGAGGUAGAGGGAUUAGAUUUUUUCUGCUUGGACCCUGACAGCAGAGCCUCUUAUGUGCACUUUACAAAUCAUUAUCUCAUUUAUUAAGUACCUACUAUGUGCUAAGUGAUUUACAGAUAUUAUCUCAUCGGAUCCUUACAACAACCCUGGCAAACAGAUGCUAUUCUUCUUCUCAUUUUAUAGUUGAGGAAACUCAUGAGGAAGCUUAAUGUAGCAUUCCAGGAGAAAAUGGAUGCAUACUUGACCUGUGGUGAUGGUUAUGUGAUGGAAAGGAAACAUCUAUGAGAAAGGUAGAGAAAUAAAUGAUUGGAUUUGGCAUUAGAGGACUAAACAUCUAGGUUCUAAAAUUCUAUCCAGUUCCAACAUUUUAGACCAUGACACAGAAAUGCAAAAUCAAACAUCUAGUUGCCCUCUGAAUUUGACAUUCCAUAACACGGUGUAGUGGAAAGAACUGUGGAUCCAUCAUCUGAGGACUUCAGUUUAAAUUUCUGGUCUGCUAUUUUUCACCUGUGUGACUUCAGGUAUCCAGGAUAUCCACCCAGCAGAAUCCACAUGCAGAUUGAAGCAUACUAUUCUUCACUUUAUUUCCUCUAUGAAUUUUUCACUAGUGUAAGAAAUGUGUAUCUUAUUUCAUAACAUGAUGAAGAAGGAAAUAUAUAUUAUAUGAUAAUAUAUGUGUAACCUAUAUCAUAUCCCUUGCCUUCCUGGGCAAGCAGAAGGGAGAGAACAUGAAUUGAAAAAUGUCAAAUAAAUGAAUGUUUAAAUUGUAUUUACA
rnacentral:lncRNA from 1 species